UUCAGCCCGGCCGGAACUUUUCUUCGGGGGCCCGCCCGCCAUGACGAUCACCUACAGUUGUGUCGUUAAUGGCCGAGCGGUCCUAGGGGAGCUGGCCCUGACCGGCGGCUCCUAUCAGGAAGCAGCAGCAACAGUGCUUAGACUAGUGCUUCUUAGAGCUGAACAGAAGACCAUAAUUCAGAUGGGAAGGCCAAAGAAUCUCAAAAACCAAGAAAGAUUCUUAGGAGGAUAUGGUGGAAACACUUCAAAAAGAUCAUAA
rnacentral:lncRNA from 12 species